rnacentral:rRNA from 1 species
GAUGAACGCUGGCGGCAUGCCUAAUACAUGCAAGUCGAGCGGAGUUGAUGGAAAGCUUGCUUUCCUGAUACUUAGCGGCGGACGGGUGAGUAACACGUAGGCAACCUGCCCUCAAGCUUGGGACAACUACCGGAAACGGUAGCUAAUACCGAAUACUUGUUUUCUUCGCCUGAAGAGAACUGGAAAGACGGAGCAAUCUGUCACUUGGGGAUGGGCCUGCGGCGCAUUAGCUAGUUGGUGAGGUAAUGGCUCACCAAGGCGACGAUGCGUAGCCGACCUGAGAGGGUGCUCGGCCACACUGGGACUGAGACACGGCCCAGACUCCUACGGGAGGCAGCAGUAGGGAAUCUUCCGCAAUGGGCGAAAGCCUGACGGAGCAAUGCCGCGUGAGUGAUGAAGGUUUUCGGAUCGUAAAGCUCUGUUGCCAGGGAAGAACGCUUCGGAGAGUAACUGCUCCCAAGGUGACGGUACCUGAGAAGAAAGCCCCGGCUAACUACGUGCCAGCCGCCGCGGUAA